rnacentral:rRNA from 1 species
AACCUCUGGUGUACCGGUUAUGACGCCAGUCGUAUCGCCGGGUAGCUAAGUUCGGAAGAGAUAAACGCUGAAAGCAUCUAAGCGUGAAACUCGCCUCAAGAUUAGAUUUCCCCGGGGACUCGAUCCCCCUGAAGGGUCGUGGUAGACCACCACGUUGAUAGGCUGGGUGUGGAAGCGCAGCAAUGCGUUAAGCUAACCAGUACUAAUUGCCCGUGAGGCUUGAUCCUAUAACCUU